rnacentral:rRNA from 1 species
GCAGUCGAGCGACGCCCUCCUUUCGGGGAGGUGACGGAGCGGCGAACGGGUGAGUAACACGUGGGCAACCUGCCCCUAGCUCUGGGAUAACACCGGGAAACCGGUGCUAAUACCGGAUAUGACCUCGGAGGGCAUUUUCUGAGGUGGAAAGUUUUUCGGCUAGGGAUGGGCCCGCGGCCUAUCAGCUUGUUGGUGGGGUAACGGCCUACCGAGGCGACGAUCCGUAGCUGGUCUGAGAGGAUGAUCAGCCACACUGGGACUGAGACACGGCCCAGACUCCUACGGGAGGCAGCAGUGGGGAAUAUUGGACAAUGGGGGCAACCCUGAUCCAGCAAUGCCGCGUGUGUGAAGAAGGCCUUCGGGUUGUAAAGCACUUUUAUCCGGAACGAAACGCGCAGGGUGAAUAGCCUUGCGAACUGACGGUACCGGAGGAAUAAGCACCGGCUAACUUCGUGCCAGCAGCCGCGGUAAUACGAAGGGUGCAAGCGUUACUCGGAAUUACUGGGCGUAAAGGGUGCGUAGGUGGUUGUUUAAGUCUGCUGUGAAAGCCCCGGGCUCAACCUGGGAAUGGCAGUGGAUACUGGACAGCUAGAGUGCGGUAGAGGGUAGUGGAAUUCCCGGUGUAGCAGUGAAAUGCGUAGAGAUCGGGAGGAACACCAGUGGCGAAGGCGGCUACCUGGACCAGCACUGACACUGAAGC